ACCAUCUUCCCCUUGCGGGGAAAAGGUAAGGAUCAAC
rnacentral:other from 1 species